rnacentral:rRNA from 1 species
GACGAACGCUGGCGGCGUGGAUUAGGCAUGCAAGUCGAGCGACGGUAUUCCUUCGGGGAUAUACGGAGCGGCGAACGGGUGAGUAACGCGUGAACAACCUGUCCCUUUGUUCCGGAUAAUUGGGAGAAAUCCCUUGUAAUACGGGCGAGGACGGUCCUUUGGCAUCUUAGGAUCGGGAAACACGAAAGUGGCAUGGGGAG